AGGAAGUGCGGCUGACAGGGAAGGGGGACGAGGUGUGCUUGACGGGGGAGCGAACGGGGCACCGCGGGCAGAGCUGCCAGGGAACGGGGCACCGGGCCGGCUGACCGACAAGGGGCCCGGCAGAUGCAGCUGCGAGCGAAGCGGAUAAUCCCAGCUGCACGGCAGAAGAAAAUUCCUACUUGGUUAUCCCAAAAGAAGGAGGAAAAGCCCCUUAAAUCAGAGACAACAGGCCUGAGGACUCCUCCUUGCACCUCCAGCCUCGUAAAUGACAGCGGCAAUGAUUUGUCUCCACCUUGCAAGUCAUUAACCUGUUCAGCUGUUGUCAAAGUCCUUUACGGAAGAUGCCAUCUCCAUGGGGACCCAAAGCUCCAGGCAGAAAUCAGGCAGGCUUCAGAUGCCCUUGACAUGGAAGUUUUCCUCGCUGGUGGAGAGAAAACUGGGGCAUGGGAGCUGGAUUUUCUCUCGAGCUGGUGACAGGAAUGCCAGGGCUGGAGCCAAGGAGGACUCGCUGGUGCUGACUGUCAGACCUGGAGUUUCCUCCUGCGGUCUGAAAGCUGGGAAUGCAAACAAGGUGUGCUCCUGCAGGAGAGCCACACCUCGGAGAGGAUCCUCGUGGAACAGGGCUGUGGCUGCUCCAAGGAAAGGUGCAGGAGGCCAGGAAUAAAUCUGCCUGAGAGCUUGCCCUUUUCACAGUGAUGAAAUUGAAGUCAUACAAAAGGCAUUUUUAAUUAUUAUUAAUUUUUAAAGGCAUUUCAAUAAAUACCUGUCUCCUUUUCUAUCUUCAACCUACACUACACAGGAAAAAAAAAAAAGGAAAUUCAGUGUAAAACCCCACAACCUGCAAAUAAAGUUCAGUUUU